GUGGUAACACACACUGGAGGACCGAACCGACUAGUGUUGCAAAAUUAGCGGAUGAGCUGUGGAUAGGGGUGAAAGGCCAAACAAAUCUGGAGAUAGCUGGUUCUCCCCGAAAACUAUUGAGGUAGUGCCUCGUGUGUCGCUCCAGGGGGUAGAGCACUGUUUUGGCUAGGGGGACAUGGAGUCUUACCAAACCAAGGCAAACUCCGAAUACCUGGAAGCGUAAGCACGGGAGACAGAGCACCGGGUGCUAACGUCCGGACUCAAAAGGGAAACAACCCAGACCGCCGGCUAAGGUCCCCAAUAACAGCUAAGUGGAAAACGAAGUGGAAAGGCCGUGACAACCAGGAAGUUGGCUUAGAAGCAGCCAUCCUUCAAAGAAAGCGUAAUAGCUCACUGGUCGAGUCCUUCUGCGCGGAAGAUGUAACGGGGCUAAGCUGUUAACCGAAGCCGCGGAUGCACUGAUUAUUCAGUGCGUGGUAGGGGAGCGUUCUGUAAGUCUGCGAAGGCGGUUCGAGAGGACUGCUGGAGAUAUCAGAAGUGCGAAUGCUGACAUGAGUAACGUUAAAGCAGGUGAAAAGCCUGCUCGCCGUAAGCCCAAGGAUUCCUGCUCUACGUUCAUCGGAGCAGGGUGAGUCGGCUCCUAAGGUCAGGCCGAAAGGCGUAGCCGAUGGGAAUCAGGUUAAUAUUCCUGAACCUGCGUCAGAUGCGAUGGGGGGACGGAGCAUGAAAGAUCAUCCGGGUGUUGGAUGUCCCGGUUGUUGAGCGUAGGAGGUCUGCAGGCAAAUCCGCAGACGCAUCUCCAAGGCAAAGACACGUGCCGCCACGGCGGCGAAGUGAUCGGAAGUGCUUCCAAGAAAAGCCUCUAAGCACCAGUCUGGCGCGGACCGUACCGCAAACCGACACUGGUGGGCGAGCUGAAUAUGCUCAGGCGCUUGAGAGAACUCGGGAGAAGGAACUCGGCAAAUUGACACCGUAACUUCGGAAGAAGGUGUGCCGUAGUAGCGUGAGAGGAGAGACACCUUGAGCGUGAAUCGGUCUCAGAGAAUAGGUGGCUGCGACUGUUUAUUAAAAACACAGCACUCUGCAAAGUCGAAAGACGACGUAUAGGGUGUGAUGCCUGCCCGGUGCUGGAAGAUUAAUUGAUGGGGUGAGAGCCCUUGAUCGAAGUCCCAGUAAACGGCGGCCGUAACUAUAACGGUCCUAAGGUAGCGAAAUUCCUUGUCGGGUAAGUUCCG
rnacentral:rRNA from 1 species